UGGCGAACGGGUGAGUAACACGUGGGUGAUCUGCCCUGCACUUCGGGAUAAGCCCGGGAAACUGGGUCUAAUACCGGAUAUGACUACGGGUCGCAUGGUCUGUGGUGGAAAGCUUUUGCGGUGUGGGAUGGGCCCGCGGCCUAUCAGCUUGUUGGUGGGGUUAAGGCCUACCAAGGCGACGACGGGUAGCCGGCCUGAGAGGGUGACCGGCCACACUGGGACUGAGAUACGGCCCAG
rnacentral:rRNA from 1 species